rnacentral:rRNA from 14 species
AAUUGAGAGUUUGAUCCUGGCUCAGGAUGAACGCUAGCGGCAGGCCUAAUACAUGCAAGUUGAACGGUAGAUAAUCUUUCGGGAUUGUUGAGAGUAGCGCACGGGUGCGUAACGCGUAUGAAACCUACCCUAUACAGGGGGAUAGCCCGGAGAAAUCUGGAUUAAUACCCCAUAGUAUUGUUUGACCGCAUGGUUGAAUGAUUAAAGAUUCAUCGGUAUAGGAUGGUCAUGCGUCUGAUUAGCUAGUUGGGGAGGUAACGGCUCACCAAGGCGACGAUCAGUAGGGGUUCUGAGAGGAAGGUCCCCCACACUGGCACUGAGAUACGGGCCAGACUCCUACGGGAGGCAGCAGUGGGGAAUUUUCUGCAAUGGGCGAAAGCCUGACAGAGCAAUACCGCGUGAGGGAUGACAGUCCUAUGGAUUGUAAACCUCUUUUUUCAGGGAGGAAGUUCUGACGUUACCUGAAGAAUAAGCAUCGGCUAACUCCGUGCCAGCAGCCGCGGUAAUACGGAGGAUGCAAGUGUUAUCCGGAAUCACUGGGCGUAAAGCGUCUGUAGGUGGUUUAAUAAGUCAACUGUUAAAUCUUGAGGCUCAACUUCAAAAUCGCAGUCGAAACUAUUAGACUAGAGUAUAGUAGAGGUAAAGGGAAUUUCCAGUGGA